UUAUCAGUUAUAAAUAUGCAGUUAAUAACCAAUCCAAUCAUUUUAUUGAUUUUGAAUCACAAAACCUCCACUCAUACUUCUAUGUUGCCCUGACACCACAGAACAAGAAAAAUAAACGUAACUUGGGCCAUCCAAUCAAAACCAGCAGAGCACCAGAGCAUGAAAUUCUGUCUGCCCCUUUCACUGCAGGCUGCUUUUGUCUUUGCCCUACAACAAACCCCAG
rnacentral:lncRNA from 1 species